rnacentral:rRNA from 1 species
CGAACGCUGGCGGCGUGCUUAACACAUGCAAGUCGAAACGCGAAAGGGACUUCGGUCCUAGAGUAAAGUGGCGCACGGGUGAGUAACGCGUAGAUAACCUGUCUUCAUGUCUGGAAUAAUACGCCGAAAGGGGUACUAAUACCGGAUAUUCUUGCUUUUCAUAAGUUAUGCAAGCAAAGGUGGCCUCUGCAUAUGCUACUGCAUGAAGAGGGGUCUGCGUACCAUUAGCUAGUAGGUGGGGUAAUGGCCUACCUAGGCGACGAUGGUUAGCGGGUCUGAGAGGAUGAUCCGCCACACUGGCACUGGAACACGGGCCAGACUCCUACGGGAGGCAGCAGUGAGGAAUAUUGCGCAAUGGGGGAAACCCUGACGCAGCGACGCCGCGUGAGUGAAGGAAGGCCUUCGGGUCGUAAAGCUCUGUCAAGAGGAAAGAAGUGUACAAUGGCUAAUACCUGUUGUAUUUGACGGUACCUCUAAAGGAAGCACCGGCUAACUCCGUGCCAGCAGCCGC